AUGGCCCUCUGGCCCUCAAAGGGCGACGGCUCCGCUGGCCGCUAGGACCGCAGCGCAAGGAAGGCAGACUUUAAUGCCAAAAGGAAAAAGAAGGUGGUGGAGAUACACCAGGCUCUGAACAGCGAUCCCAUCGACGUGGCUGCCCUCCGACGAAUGGCUAUCAGGGAGGGAGGGCUCCUGACUGAUGAGAUCAGGUGCCAAGUGUGGCCUAAGCUCCUCAAUGUCAACACCAAUGAGCCACCGCCUGUGUAAAGGAAGGACCUUUGCGACAUGAGCAAGGACUACCAGCAAGUGCUGCUGGACAUCAGGCGGUCUCUUCGGCGCUUCCCCCUUGGCAUGCCGGAUGAGCAGAGAAGGGCUCCAGGAAGAGCUAAUCGAUAUCAUCCUCCUUAUCUUAGAUCGCAACCCUCAGCUCCACUACUACCAGGGCUACCAUGGCAUCGUGGUCACGUUUCUGCUGGUGGUGGGGGAGAGGCUGGCAACAUCCCUGGUAGAAAAAUUGUCUACCCACCACCUCAGGGAUUUCAUGGAUCCCACAAUGGACAACACCAAGCACAUCCUAAAUUAUCUGAUGCCCAUCAUUGACCAAGUGAGCCCAGAGCUCCACGACUUCAUGCAGAGUGCUGAGGUGGGGACCAUCUUUGCCCUCAGCUGGCUUAUCACCUGGUUUGGGCACGUCCUGAUGGACUUCAGAUCCCUCUGGACCUGCCCUAUGAGACGCUCAUCAGAAGAACGGGAGACCUCUUUGUUCAGUUUCCCCCUUCCGAACUUGCAAGGGAGGCAGGCUGCUCAGCAGGAGGCUGAGAGAACCGCAGCCUCUACUUUCAAAGACUUUGAGCUGGCAUCGACUCAGCAGAGGCCAGAUCUGGUGCUGCGGCAGCGGUUUCGGGGACUUCUGAGGCCUGAGGCUUGAACAAAAGAUGUCCUGACCAAACCAAGGACCAACUGCUUUGUGAAACUGGCAGUGAUGGGGCUGACGGUGGCCCUUGGAGCAGCAGCACUAGCAGUGGUGAAGAGCGCCCUGGAGUGGGCCCCUAAGUUCCAGCUGCAGCUGUUCCCCUAAACUCAGCUCAAGCAGCUACUUCCUC